GAUGAACGCUAGCGGCAGGCCUAAUACAUGCAAGUCGAACGGUCAACUUCGGUUGAUAGUGGCGCACGGGUGCGUAACACGUAUGCAACCUACCUUACAUUGGGGGAUAGCCUUUCGAAAGGGAGAUUAAUACCGCAUAAGACAGUGACAUGGCAUCAUGUAGCUGUUAAAGAUUUAUCGAUGUAAGCUGGGCAUGCGUCCAAUUAGUUAGUUGGUGAGGUAACGGCUCACCAAGACGAUGAUUGGUAGGGGAACUGAGAGGUCAAUCCCCCACACUGGCACUGAGAUACGGGCCAGACUCCUACGGGAGGCAGCAGUAGGGAAUAUUGGGCAAUGGGCGCGAGCCUGACCCAGCCAUGCCGCGUGCAGGAAGAAGGCGUUCUGCGUUGUAAACUGCUUUUAUAUAGGAAGAAACGACCCUUGCGAGGGGCAUUGACGGUAUUAUAUGAAUAAGCACCGGCUAACUCCGUGCCAGCCGCCGCAGUAACAC
rnacentral:rRNA from 1 species